rnacentral:rRNA from 1 species
UUAAACGGCCGCGGUAUUUUGACCGUGCAAAGGUAGCGCAAUCACUUGUCUUUUAAAUGAAGACCUGUAUGAAUGGUGAAACGAGGGCUUAACUGUCUCCCUCAUCUAGUCAAUGAAAUUGAUCUACCCGUGCAGAAGCGGGUAUUACCAUACAAGACGAGAAGACCCUUUGGAGCUUAAGACAAAAGACCAACUAUGUCAAAAGGAAAGAAACUAAACCAAAUAGCACUGGCCCAAGUCUUCGGUUGGGGUGACCACGGGAAAAAACACAACUCCCAUGUAGAAAGGGGACCCCCUAAAACUAAGAGAGACAUCUCUAAGGCACAGAACAUCUGACUUCAAAGAUCCGGCUACAAGCCGAUCAACGGACCAAGUUACCCUAGGGAUAACAGCGCAAUCCCCUUCCAGAGUCCCUAUCGACAAGGGGGUUUACGACCUCGAUGUUGGAUCAGGACAUCCUAAUGGUGCAGCCGCUAUUAAGGGUUCGUUUG